UUAAAUAAUCAAUAAAAAGCGUAAAUAAUUCUCAGGCUUCCAGUUUUUUAAAAAAUCGCAUUUUUGUGAACUAACAAAAUUCAGACACGUGUUUUACAGUAUGAAACACUAUAAAUUUAAAAAAAAGAUUAGAGUUUACGUUUAUAUUGCAAUAUAAAAUAUUGUGAAUAUUUGGUCAGAUACUUCAUUUGACAUACUAUCUUCAGAAAAUGAAUUACUCGAAAUAAAUAAGAAAAAAUGAAAACUACUAAAAAAUAUAAUAUACAAAUCUAAAGACGAUAAAACAGAGAUAUUGUAAAAAAAUUUAAAUUUCCUACGUAGACAUUAGGCUCGAAAAUGUUUGAUGUUAACAAUAUGCAUAUUUGUUAAUACUAUUCGUUAAUAGUAACUGGUGCAACUAAUAAAUCAAAAUCGGCGUUUCGGGAUGUGUCAACUUUGGGACAGCAAAACAGGGAUUAAAUACAAUAAUCAUUAUAUUAUCAUCGAUCACUAAAUAUUUUUUAAUCGUUAACACUAGAAGACAUCAUUUAAAAGUGGUAUACAAAUUCUCAAAUCGAUCCUAGAAUGACGGUCGUCAUCUACAUUAAAUAUUAAUAUUAUUUAAAUCUGAUAAUGUUAUCCUCAACUAACAUGAAUUCGAGCGAGACUGACAACGUUCCCGACAUCGAACGCUUAUACAAAUAAUAUUUAGAAGAAAAAAAGGAAACGAAAUUAAGGAGGGAAGAAAUUAACUUUGUCGUUAGUGGUAGGUAAGAUUCAAACAUUCGCAGCGAGUUAACAAAUGGUCAAGGAAGAACUUACAUGUGGUUUUUCUUUUUUUUUUUUUGUUUAAUCAUAAACGCCCUGUAUUAUUAUCAUUACUAUCAUUUAAAAUAACAUGAACAAAGUAAUAUCGUGUGAGCCAUCGUGCUGAAAACGAGUUUCAUCAAGAUUCGAGUAAGAAAAUGGAUAGUGCAAGUGUCAAGGGUACGUUUAAAUAAGCAGCAGUUAGGAACAAACUAA